ensembl:snRNA U1 U1 spliceosomal RNA
AUACCCAAAGUGAGAAGGGCAAACUGUGCUGUAAUGAUCAUGAAGGUGGUUUUCCCAGGGUGAGGCUCAUCCAUUGCACUGCAGGUGUGCUGACUUCUGCGAUUUCCCCAAAUGCGGGAAACUUGACUGCAUAAUUUGUGGUAGUGGGGGACUGCAUUCGCGCUCUCCCCUG